rnacentral:rRNA from 1 species
ACGGGGUGCAGCAGGCGCGAAACCUUUACACUGCACGCGAGUGCGAUAAGGGGACUCCGAGUGCGAGGGCAUAUAGUCCUCGCUUUUCACGACCGUAAGGUGGUCGUAGAAUAAGUGCUGGGCAAGACCGGUGCCAGCCGCCGCGGUAAUACCGGCAGCACGAGUGAUGACCGCUAUUAUUGGGCCUAAAGCGUCCGUAGCUGGCCACGCAAGUCUAUCGGGAAAUCCGCGCGCUUAACGCGCGGGCGUCCGGUGGAAACUGCGUGGCUUGGGACCGGAAGACCAGAGGGGUACGUCCGGGGUAGGAGUGAAAUCCCGUAAUCCUGGACGGACCACCGGUGGCGAAAGCGCCUCUGGAAGACGGAUCCGACGGUGAGGGACGAAAGCUCGGGUCACGAACCGGAUUAGAUACCCCUGUAGUCC